CAAAAGAGGAAGGAGGUGACCAAGAGUACUUGUACAAACCAGCCUCCUCUUUACCAAGAUCUAGAAGCCUCUUCAGAGAAAGGUCCUGUAACAUGUAAAGAAGACAUGAGGUUGGUGUAAACAAAACUAAACAAUGCAGUUGUUUCAUCAAUUUAUGAACAGAAAUCAGAUUAUGUUUGAAAGAAGGAACCAAGAGUACAUUGUGAAGAGUAAGAGAAGGAGUCAAUGCAAAUGAUCCUGUACAAGUGACCUUUACUUUAUAACCNN
rnacentral:lncRNA from 1 species